GACGUAGGGCGCGAGCGUUGUCCGGAUUUAUUGGGCGUAAAGAGCUCGUAGGCGGCUUGUCGCGUCAACUGUGAAAACCCGUGGCUCAACCAUGUGGUCUGCAGUCGAUACGGGCAGGCUAGAAUUCGGUAGGGGAGACUGGAAUUCCUGGUGUAGCGGUGAAAUGCGCAGAUAUCAGGAGGAACACCGGUGGCGAAGGCGAGUCUCUGGGCCGAUAUUGACGCUGAGGAGCGAAAGCGUGGGGAGCGAACAGG
rnacentral:rRNA from 1 species